CUAUGCCAAAUAUAACCCACAGUUUAAUCUAAAGCUCAAUGUAAUACAUUGGUAAAAAAAUUGAACAACUGUUCACAAUGAUAUCUUGGUUC
rnacentral:misc_RNA from 1 species